rnacentral:tRNA from 1 species
UACGUUAGUUUAUAACAAAACAUUCCUCCUUCAAUGGAAAGAUGGGAAUUUUUCCUUCGUAAUU